rnacentral:rRNA from 1 species
AGAGUUUGAUCAUGGCUCAGAUUGAACGCUGGCGGCAGGCCUAACACAUGCAAGUCGAGCGGUAGCACAGAGAGCUUGCUCUCGGGUGACGAGCGGCGGACGGGUGAGUAAUGUCUGGGAAACUGCCUGAUGGAGGGGGAUAACUACUGGAAACGGUAGCUAAUACCGCAUAAUGUCGCAAGACCAAAGUGGGGGACCUUCGGGCCUCAUGCCAUCAGAUGUGCCAGAUGGGAUUAGCUAGUAGGUGGGGUAACGGCUCACCUAGGCGACGAUCCCUAGCUGGUCUGAGAGGAUGACCAGCCACACUGGAACUGAGACACGGUCCAGACUCCUACGGGAGGCAGCAGUGGGGAAUAUUGCACAAUGGGCGCAAGCCUGAUGCAGCCAUGCCGCGUGUGUGAAGAAGGCCUUCGGGUUGUAAAGCACUUUCAGCGGGGAGGAAGGCGAUGAGGUUAAUAACCUCAUCGAUUGACGUUACCCGCAGAAGAAGCACCGGCUAACUCCGUGCCAGCAGCCGCGGUAAUACGGAGGGUGCAAGCGUUAAUCGGAAUUACUGGGCGUAAAGCGCACGCAGGCGGUCUGUCAAGUCGGAUGUGAAAUCCCCGGGCUCAACCUGGGAACUGCAUUCGAAACUGGCAGGCUAGAGUCUUGUAGAGGGGGGUAGAAUUCCAGGUGUAGCGGUGAAAUGCGUAGAGAUCUGGAGGAAUACCGGUGGCGAAGGCGGCCCCCUGGACAAAGACUGACGCUCAGGUGCGAAAGCGUGGGGAGCAAACAGGAUUAGAUACCCUGGUAGUCCACGCCGUAAACGAUGUCGAUUUGGAGGUUGUGCCCUUGAGGCGUGGCUUCCGGAGCUAACGCGUUAAAUCGACCGCCUGGGGAGUACGGCCGCAAGGUUAAAACUCAAAUGAAUUGACGGGGGCCCGCACAAGCGGUGGAGCAUGUGGUUUAAUUCGAUGCAACGCGAAGAACCUUACCUGGUCUUGACAUCCACAGAACUUUCCAGAGAUGGAUUGGUGCCUUCGGGAACUGUGAGACAGGUGCUGCAUGGCUGUCGUCAGCUCGUGUUGUGAAAUGUUGGGUUAAGUCCCGCAACGAGCGCAACCCUUAUCCUUUGUUGCCAGCGGUUAGGCCGGGAACUCAAAGGAGACUGCCAGUGAUAAACUGGAGGAAGGUGGGGAUGACGUCAAGUCAUCAUGGCCCUUACGACCAGGGCUACACACGUGCUACAAUGGCAUAUACAAAGAGAAGCGACCUCGCGAGAGCAAGCGGACCUCAUAAAGUAUGUCGUAGUCCGGAUUGGAGUCUGCAACUCGACUCCAUGAAGUCGGAAUCGCUAGUAAUCGUAGAUCAGAAUGCUACGGUGAAUACGUUCCCGGGCCUUGUACACACCGCCCGUCACACCAUGGGAGUGGGUUGCAAAAGAAGUAGGUAGCUUAACCUUCGGGAGGGCGCUUACCACUUUGUGAUUCAUGACUGGGGUGAAGUCGUAACAAGGUAACCGUAGGGGAACCUGCGGUUG